rnacentral:rRNA from 1 species
AACGAACGCUGGCGGCAUGCCUAACACAUGCAAGUCGAACGAGACCUUCGGGUCUAGUGGCGCACGGGUGCGUAACGCGUGGGAACCUGCCCUUAGGUUCGGAAUAACUCCCCGAAAGGGGUGCUAAUACCGGAUAAUGUCUUCGGACCAAAGAUUUAUCGCCUUUGGAUGGGCCCGCGUUGGAUUAGCUAGUUGGUAGGGUAAAAGCCUACCAAGGCGACGAUCCAUAGCUGGUCUGAGAGGAUGAUCAGCCACACUGGGACUGAGACACGGCCCAGACUUCUUCGGGAGGGAGCAAUGGGGGAUAUUGGAACAUGGGGGGAAGGCUGAACCAGCCAUGGCGGGUGAGUGAUGAAGGGCUUAAGGUUGUAAAGCUUUUUUACCCGGGAUGGUAAUGACCGUACCGGGAGAAUAAGCUCCGGCUAACUCCGUG